UGCAGUCGAGCGGAACGAGUUAUCUGAACCUUCGGGGGACGAUAACGGCGUCGAGCGGCGGACGGGUGAGUAAUGCCUGGGAAAUUGCCCUGAUGUGGGGGAUAACCAUUGGAAACGAUGGCUAAUACCGCAUAAUAGCUUCGGCUCAAAGAGGGGGACCUUCGGGCCUCUCGCGUCAGGAUAUGCCCAGGUGGGAUUAGCUAGUUGGUGAGGUAAGGGCUCACCAAGGCGACGAUCCCUAGCUGGUCUGAGAGGAUGAUCAGCCACACUGGAACUGAGACACGGUCCAGACUCCUACGGGAGGCAGCAGUGGGGAAUAUUGCACAAUGGGCGCAAGCCUGAUGCAGCCAUGCCGCGUGUAUGAAGAAGGCCUUCGGGUUGUAAAGUACUUUCAGCAGUGAGGAAGGUGGUGUACUUAAUACGUGCAUCAUUUGACGUUAGCUGCAGAAGAAGCACCGGCUAACUCCGUGCCAGCAGCCGCGGUAAUACGGAGGGUGCGAGCGUUAAUCGGAAUUACUGGGCGUAAAGCGCAUGCAGGUGGUUUGUUAAGUCAGAUGUGAAAGCCCGGGGGCUCAACCCUCGGAAUUGCAUUUGAAACUGGCAGACUAGAGUACUGUAGAGGGGGGUAGAAUUUC
rnacentral:rRNA from 1 species